AAUGGCGGAAAGCCAAUGUAAAGUCAAGGAUGGACUGCAGCACUGAUCAGUCAAUGAAAUAGCAAAGGUGCUCAUUCACUGCGUCGACAAGACUGUUAAAAUUGAGGUCAGACGUAGGUUGCUCUCAUAGUGCGCAAAGUUCACGGCAUCUCCCACCGUCGGGAACAUCGUGAAGUGACCUUCUUUGCAUUCAGCCACGUUGCAUUUUCUCAUCGUCUCGUAUACAGGUCCUACGGCAAUAAAUUGAAAUGCAGCACCGUACAAAUUAAACAGCCUGUAUAUCUACAGAAUUGUAAGAUAUAAGACAGGAAAUGGAAAAGUUAAAAGUGGAAGGAUUCACGGUCUCAAACGGACACAUCUAUCUUUGCGAAUUCAUCCACGAGACUUCUAAGCGUCGCCACACCGGUUGGAUCGAUAUAAAUCAAGGCUGAGAAAUCGAGGAUCAAUAUUCGCAGCUGUGAAAUAAUAAAACAAUUGGAUGUUGUACUCAAAAUUGAAGAAUAGUUUUAUAUCAACUACUUCGAUGGGGUUACGCUAUAGAGAUUGACGCUACUCUGUGGUCGAAGUGGUUAAGAGCAGCAGGAUGGAGAACAAUGCUAAUGAUAUUCAAGCUUGGCAAGGAAAAAUUAUUUACCACUGCUGCUGGUUGUGUAGGAGUUGUGUAUCCUUCAAAACCGGCAUUCACGAUACCUUCCUAAAAGUGAAAAGCGGAUAUGGAUUUUCUAUGGCGGAUAAUAAUAAGGUGCUAAGGAUAAACCCUUGCGAACUCCCUCGAGGACAGUAAUUAACGUCGAGUCACCUUUUUGUCGUCCCCUGGGGAAGCUUUCCUGGCAGUCUGCUUAACACGUCUGGCUAGCUCCUUUUCCGGCGUCACGCCGGCGAUCUUGUACACCUUAUUCCUGAAGUACUGUUUUGAAGCAAAAUUUAAUCCACCGGAAUAAUGUAACAUCUUGAUGCCAGGAAUCUCAAUGGUCUGGAAAUGCCCAGUUUGCAGGUAUAAGGACGCAUUGAUAAUCCUAUCAAUGAUGCCAGAGAGAUUAUAACACCGACUAAUAAACCAUAUUCAAUGUCGAGAAGGACAACAGUGAGAAAAGUCAUCAUCCAGACUACAGCAUCCAGUCGUGAGAGUUUAUAAAAUUGCCAAAAUUGUUUCACUUGUAGAAACAUUCCCUUCAGUGCUACUAUAAUUAUACUAGCCAGUACACACUGUAAUUUUUGUGAAUAUUUUCAAUGGCAUGUUUCUUUUGUCAGAAGCUGUAGGAUUUCUGAUGUUCAACUUGAAACUUACCAGUGGUAAUGGCUCAAAAAAUGGACCAAUCCAUAGUAACACGGAUAACAAGAGAGUGCAGGAUACGAGACUGGCCAAUUGACUGUGGCCUCCGACAGUUUGCUGAAUUAAUGAUCUGGAUAACGAGGCUGUGAAGGGCAUACAGGAGAAAAAUGAUCCCACCAUAUUGCCGAAACCCUGAAAACGUCGGAUCCGCUAAUAGGUUUUCUGUGUUUUCCGUAGAGUCGUUAACGUUAAAAAAGGGUGCCCGCUAUAGCGCAUGAACAAUGUCCAGGGACAGUGAACAUUGCGUGUUUUUAUUAUUGAGACAUAUUUUUAAAGAAAACGAACGCCGAGGAGUCCAUUCACCUGGGAAGUGAACACGUGAAUGGCGGCUGCCGUCGUAAAUCCACUGACUAACGUUUCCGACAGAAGAGUCGAUAUUAUACCAAGACGAAAAAGAUACCUGAAUGAUGGCUACUGUGAACGUCACAGCUGUUGCUACUUCUAUAGGGGAGUAUGAUAUACUUCCAGUUCCCUCUAAAGAACUAAUGUCCAAGGAUGUUUGAUUGGUCAUCGAAUUACUCGUGGAACUAUGAGCUAAUACAGUUUUUCCAGUCAUCAUGCAAAUCACAGCAAACGUGCCUGAUAGAGCGACAAGGAUGUUCCAAAAAUUAGGUAUACAAGAACCGGAAAAAAGGCCAUGUAAAUUCCAACGAUAGGUGGUACAUUUCCAAGGAGGGCAUAACUCAUUCCUGGCGAAGGGAGAUAAUUAAAUUAUUUAAUGGUCUUACUGUGGUAUUUAUGAUAUUAAAUAUCGUCCAGAAAUGACAGACCCUGAGGAAUAUGCAUUACAGCUACAGUAAAUCCAGCCACAAGAUCCCCCAUGAUGUUUUCCUUCCAGUUAUACUUUGGUAACCAAUCAAUAAUAGGUUUUGUAUAAUUGCAUAUACGAUGAAGUUCAUCCUGCUGAUAUACCGGGCGCCGGAUUAUGAAUUCCGGGGCGUUCGAGGACAUUUUAAAAACUUUCUGCAAAGAUAUAAUGAACGAAAUUCUCACGCACAAUUGCCUGCUCUACCCAUACCAAAAUUAUAUGCUUGAGUGGCAUUUAGCUAUUAAAUUGAUGACAAAAAAAGGGAGUUGAGUUUUCUCACAGGACGUUUAACCUUGAUAAUAAAAAGUUUGGUAAUGGUGAAUCAAACGGUUCCUAUCGUUCGCAGCGUGUCUUUAAACGUUUUUAUUUUUACAGAAUAAAGUGCACCAGGUGCUAGAACGGUUUUCCUUUGGCGAUCGGCUGAGCGUGACGAGUUCUCACACUGAAAUGCCAAAUGAAAUCGGCGUAUUCUGCAUGGACGAACAAUCCGGUGACAAAUAUUUGAUAAAUAUGUUCAAUUCGAUAAUAUAAUCUACGUCUAUAUGCUUUUCCGAGUCACUCCACUGUAAAAUACGAGAAGCUUCCGCUUUGAUGCUACAUGUACUGUAUACCGUUGAAUGGCGUACUGAGGGACGUUUGAAAUUUUAUCGAUAAUUCGAAAGAACUAUAUCUACUCAGACAACACAUACGUCCAAAAGUAAUUUUUCUUGUAAAGUCUUCAUAUAAUCAUUUUUGUUUUAGCUAGAAACUCGUGGGCUAUGACAUAACAUACCGAUAAGAAAAACCUACAGAUAUGUGACUAAGUACUGAUAAAAGGAGUGCAUAGUAAUAAGUCAGUAAAUGGGUGAUCACUAUACAUUAAAUACUCUCGAAUAUAUAAUAAAUACUAUGAAAAUAUAUACGCCCUAAACAUUAGUGACAGACACACUGUGAAAUCCCAAUUGAGAAAAGUGAAGUGGUAUCUUCGAAAGAGCAAGGUAGCAAAAUUCUUUGAAUAAACAAAGCCGUGAAACUCUUGAAGAUCUUAAAAGAGUAUCCCCGUACCCGAUGAAAAGCGCGGAAAGUUUUAAUUGCCAUUAAACAAAUUGUGAGAAUUCAUUAAUCCAAGUGCCGAGCGCAUAGUAGGGAAGAAGCUGUUACCAGCUCGUACGCAGGGAUUUUGUAUAAAGUCCGAAGAAGGUCUUCCUUUGUUGUGGCAGCAAUCCCGAGGACAUUUCCAAGCUUAAAAGCUCGUUUAGUGGCGUGAGUCGGCGAAUGAAAAGCCCAGGAAGAAAGUAUAGAAGCGCUCAUGGAAAUCGUGCGAUGGAAUAACCCUAUAAUAUUAGGAUUUCCACGAUUUUAUCGUUAAACUUCAUAUAAACGGAGCUGCACCGCCAGCACUUUGGCCAAAAAGUGUAACGUUAUCAGGAUCACCACCAAAUUUAGCAAUAUUUCGGCGCACCCAUUUCAACACUAAAUUUUGAUCCUUCAAUCCAGCAUUGCCAGUAGCAGCUGGAUGAUUCAACGAUAAAAAGCCUGUGAGAAUAAAAUCCAACGUUUUCAUUUUACUUAUAACUAAAGAUAAUUAUGAAAUAAUAACAUUAUGUAUUUAAUAAAAUACCCAAUGGACCCAAA